GUAAAGAGGGAGGAGAGAAUGUAAAGGGGACGUAAAGAGGUAGGAGAGAAUGUAAAGGGGACGUAAAGAGGUAGGAGAGAAUGUAAAGGGGACGUAAAGAGGUAGGAGAGAAUGUAAAGGGGACGUAAAGAGGGAGGAGAGAAUGUAAAGGGGACGUAAAGAGGGAGGAGAGAAUGUAAAGGGGACGUAAAGUGGGAGGAGAGAAUGUAAAGGGGACGUAAAGAGGUAGGAGAGAAUGUAAAGGGGACGUAAAGAGGUAGGAGAGAAUGUAAAGGGGACGUAAAGUGGGAGGAGAGAAUGUAAAGGGGACGUAAAGAGGUAGGAGAGAAUGUAAAGGGGACGUAAAGAGGGAGGAGAGAAUGUAAAGGGGACGUAAAGAGGGAGGAGAGAAUGUAAAGGGGACGUAAAGAGGGAGGAGAGAAUGUAACGGGGACGUAAAGAGGGAGGAGAGAAUGUAAAGGGGACGUAAAGAGGGAGGAGAGAAUGUAAAGGGGACGUAAAGAGGGAGGAGAGAAUGUAAAGGGGACGUAAAGAGGGAGGAGAGAAUGUAAAGGGGACGUAAAGAGGGAGGAGAGCAUGUAAAGAGGGAGGAGAGCAUGUAAAGGGUACGUAAAGAGGGAGGAGAGACAGCGACGCCCUUGCUGUGCCAUAAGGCAACAGAGUACAACUAGAGUGAUUGGAGAGCAGGAGGACUCAGAUAGAGCAGAUUCUCUAGAGCGACUCACGAGCUCUGAUGAUGACACAGCUAAUCCACGAUUGGCAGAGUACACCGCUUGACAACGAUCACGUGUGUUUCAUGUCUCUUCUCACACCUUCAGUUCCACUAAGGAUCACAUCUGUUCUUUAUAACAGUAAAAGCUCUUUUCACAUAGUUGCGAUAAAUGUUUAUCAAAAUAAAACAAAUAAAACAAUGUAGACCCCACUUCACUGGUAUUUAGGCUUAUUUUGAACUUUAUUCUUGUACAAACAGUAGUGCAUGUAUUGAAUGAAAAUGUCUCUGAAAUAUCUGUAUUUGGAAAAUAAUGCGUUUAUUCCACUUCAGCUGUGGUAAAGUAUGCAAACUUAGCCUGAGCAUCACUACAGGAAGCAGAAAGUGUCUGACAUCACAUCUCAGUUUUCAGCUUCUCUCAUCUGCACACGGCAACUCUCACCAAUCGGUUACAUCCAGCCACAGCCCAUGUCCAGCACAGCUAAUAUAAGGGAUGAAUAGAGGCAGUAAAUGUAAAGAGGAUGAAAAGAGGGAGGAGUAAAGCGGGUAAAAAGAGGGAGGAGUAGAGUUAAAGAGGAUAGAGAGGGAGGAGUAAAGAGGGUAAAAAGAGGGAGGAGUAGAGUUAAAGAGGAUAGAGAGGGAGGAGUAAAGAGGGUAAAAGAGGGAGGAGUAGAGUUAAAGAAGAUAGAGAGGGAGGAGUAAAGAGGGUAAAAAGAGGGAGGAGUAGAGUUAAAGAGGGAGGAAGUAAAGGAGGAAGUAGAGAGAUUUUGAAGAAGGGUGGAUGGAGGAAGUACAGAGGAUAGUUGGGCACUGAGAAUCAUUCCCACCUCCAAGUUAAUUGAUUUUUCAUUGUUGUUCUUUAAAAAAAAAAUUUUUUUUUGAAGUUCUGUCAUUAACUGCAAUGUGCACUUUCAACACAAUGUGUCCAAGACUGUUAAUAUUAAAGAGUCAUUUAAUCAGAGUCCCCAAAGAGUCAUUUAAUCGGAGUGUGUGUGUGUCACUCGAGUCCCCAAAGAGUCAUUUAAUCGGAGUGUGUGUGUCACUCGAGUCCCCAAAGAGUCAUUUAAUCGGAGUGUGUGUGUCACUCGAGUCCCCAAAGAGUCAUUUAAUCGGAGUGUGUGUGUGUCACUAGAGUCCCCAAAGAGUCAUUUAAUCGGAGUGUGUGUGUCACUCGAGUCCCCAAAGAGUCAUUUAAUUGGAGUGUGUGUGUCACUAGAGUCCCCAAAGGGUCAUUUAAUCGGAGUGUGUGUGUCACUCGAGUCCCCAAAGAGUCAUUUAAUUGGAGUGUGUGUGUCACUAGAGUCCCCAAAGGGUCAUUUAAUCGGAGUGUGUGUGUGUCACUAGAGUCCCCAAAGAGUCAUUUAAUCGGAGUGUGUGUGUCACUAGAGUCCCCAAAGGGUCAUUUAAUCGGAGUGUGUGUCACCUGAGUCCCCAAUGAGUCGUUCAAUUGGAGUGUGUGUGUCACUAGAGUCCCCAAAGGGUCAUUUAAUCGGAGUGUGUGUGUGUCACUCGAGUCCCCAAAGGGUCAUUUAAUCGGAGUGUGUGUGUGUCACUCGAGUCCCCAAAGGGUCAUUUAAUCGGAGUGUGUGUGUCACUAGAGUCCCCAAAGGGUCAUUUAAUCGGAGUGUGUGUGUGUCACUCGAGUCCCCAAAGGGUCAUUUAAUCGGAGUGUGUGUGUGUCACUCGAGUCCCCAAAGGGUCAUUUAAUCGGAGUGUGUGUGUCACUAGAGUCCCCAAAGGGUCAUUUAAUCGGAGUGUGUGCGUCACUAGAGUCCCCAAAGAGUCAUUUAAUCGGAGUGUGUGUGUCACUAGAGUCC